UACGAAGGGGGCUAGCGUUGUCCGGAAUCAUUGGGCGUAAAGCGCGUGUAGGCGGUCCGGUAAGUCCGCUGUGAAAGUCGGGGGCUCAACCCUCGGAUGCCGGUGGAUACUGUCGGGCUUGAGUACGGAAGAGGCGAGUGGAAUUCCUGGUGUAGCGGUGAAAUGCGCAGAUAUCAGGAGGAACACCGGUGGCGAAGGCGGCUUGCUGGGCCAGUUCUGACGCUGAGGAGCGAAAGCGUGGGGAGCAAACAGG
rnacentral:rRNA from 1 species